AAAUGGGGUGUCCUGGGUGAACCAAAUGCUGGUGUAGGGAAAGGAAUGGGAAUGUUGAGGGGAUGGGAAGAGGCAUCAAGAACAGGAAUAUAAUUUUCCUACAGUGCUGUUCUGCUGAGACUACAGAGUACCUCAGGGAGUCAUGCAUCCUCUUCCUGUUGCUUUACUGAAUCUUAAAGAGUGAUACAGUACUAAUGAUGCCAUUCUAGCAACUGGAGCAGCUUCAGGGGAGAGAGCACAUUAAGGGUGCUGGGAUGGUAAUGGUUGGGAGGAAGCUGAAUGGUAGUAAGAGAGACAUUCUGUCCUGAGAACUCUGAUCCAGUAAGUGAUAUUUGGCUUUGGGGAUGGUUCCUAUUAGCAUUAUGGGAACUAGAGAGUGGCCUCAGAUGGAAGUGCUGACUUUACACAGAUGGUAUCUUUCAUGCGCGUCCGUGUGAAGAGACCACCAAACAGGCUUUGUGUGAGCAAUAAAGCUUUUAAUCACCUGGGUGCCGGCGGGCUGAGUCCAAAAAGACAGUCAGAGAAGGGAGAUGGGGUGGGGACGUUUUAUCGGAUUUGGGUAGGUAAAGGAAAAAGGGGGGUUGUUCUCUGGCAGGCAGGAGUAGGGGUCACAAGGUGCUCAGUAGGGGAGCUUUUAAGCCAGGAUGAGCCAGGAGAAAGAAUUUCACAAGAUAAUGCCAUCAGUUAAGGCAGGAACAGGCCAUUUUCAUUUCUUUUGUAGUGGAAUGUCAUCAGUUAAGGCAGGAACCGGCCAUCUGGAUGUGCAUGUGCAGGUCACAGGGGAUAUGAUGGCUUAGCUUGGGCUCAGAGGCCUGACAUUCCUGUCUUCUUAUAUUAAUAAGAAAAAUAAAAUGAAAUAGUGGUAAAGUGUUGGGAUGGCAAAAAUUUUGGGGGAUGGUAUGGAGAGAUAAUGGGCGAUGUUUCUCAGGGCUGCUUCGAGUGGGAUUAGGGGCGGCGUGGGAACCUAGAGUGGGAGAGAUUAAGCUGAAGGAAGAUUUUGUGGUAAGGGGUGAUAUUGUGGGACUGUUAGAGGAAACAUUUGUCAUUUAGAAUUAUUGAUGAUUGCCUGGAUAUGGUUUUGUAUGAACUGAGAAACUAAAUGGAAUAAGAGAAGGAGAAAAACAGGUAUUAAAGGUCUAAGAAUUGGGAAGACCUAGGACAUCUAAUUAGAGUGCCUAAGGAGAUUCAGCGUAGUCCUGCCAGCAAAGAUUAUUUAUUUACUUCAAGAAUGGCAGUUUGGGGAUACCACCAGGAGAUAUCAGCUGUGAUGGCUUGGAGAAACAGUGUAAACUGGCAGUGUAAACAAGAGCAGGACAUGUAUGAGUAGUUGAGAACAGUGAAUAGGAGUAUGACUAGAGAGAAGAUAGUAGGGAUGACAAGUUUUUUGGGGCACAGUCUAAGUUGGUCUGGUGUCUGGAAUGAGACUGGGGCUUAAUAAAAAGGAGCCUCUAUACAGGAGCUCAAAUGGGCUGUACCUUGUAGCAUUCUGAGGACAGGCCUGACUUCUGAGAAAAGAAAGAGGUAAAAGUUUUUCUAGCCCUUUUUAAGUUGGUGGCUGAGGUUUUAAAAGACAAUUAGUCCAUUCUACUUUUCCUGAAGACUGAGGACUGUAAGGGAUAUAAAGGUUUCAUUGAAUACUAAGAGCCUGAAAAACUGCUUGGCUGAUUUGACUAAUAAAGGCCGGUCUGCUAUCGGACUGUAUAGAGGUGGGAAGGCCAAACCGAGUAAUUGUGUCUGACAGAAGGGAAGAAAUGACUGUGUUGGCCUUCUUAGACCCUGUGGGAAAGGCCUCUACCUAUCCAGUGAAAGUGUCUACCUAGACCAAGAGGUAUUUUAGUUAUCUGACUCGGGGCAUGUUGAGUAAAGCUAAUUUGCCAGUCCUGGGUGGGGGCAAAUCUCUGAGCUUGAUGUGUAGGGAAGGGAGGGGGCCUGAAUAAUCCCUGAGGAGUAGUAGAAUAGCAGAUGGAACACUGAGAAGUUAUUUCCUUGAGGAUACAUUUCCACGAUGGAAAGGAAAUGAGAGGUUCUAAGAGGCGGGCUAGUGGCUUGUACCAUAGCAUAGCCUGCCUUUGCUGGUGUGUGGCGAUUAGGCCUGGUGGAACUGCCAUCAAUAAAUCAAGCGUGAUCAGGGUGAGGAACAGGAAAGGAGAAAAUAUGGGGAAAUGGGGUGAAUGUCAGGUGGAUCAGAGAGAUACAGUCAUGGGGGUCAGGUGUGGUAUCAGGAAUAAUGUGGGAGGCCGGAUUGACGUCCGGGCCAGGAACAAUGGUAAUUGUGGGACUUAACAAAGAACGAGUACAGCUGAAGGAGCCGGGGAACAGAAAGCAUAUGCGUCAGGGAUCUGAAUGAUGCAGUGUCGCAAUCCCAUUUUAUAAAUGAGGCAACCAAAACUCGAACAGGACCAUAUUGCGACUGAAACAAGGCAUAACAGGUCUUUGACUGGCUAUCCUGUGGAUGUGGACUCAGGCUAGCCUGCGCAAAGUGAAAGACAGGCAAUUAGAUUGAAAAAUACCUGUGAUUCAAAGAAGUCACAAGUCACAGAGACAAACUUUUCCCAGUGUGUUCGAGUCAGAGAACCUUUGCAAAGACCAACAGGCUAAAAGAGAAAAUACAAUGUCAUCUUGAUGCAGAUGAGCAGGUAACCAUGGAAGUCGUGAGCUGAGGCUGCAGAGUCUAGAGCCAGAGUGUGGAAUAAACUUGGGUCUCAAAUCACCCCUGGAGCAAAGCACCCAUCUAAUCAGGAACUUCUACUUUCAACUUUACAUGCGUGAGAAAUGAACUUCUAUCAUGUUAGAGAAAUCCUUACACGGCGCCCUUGAGAGCUUUCAUACUGCAAGUCAUCCAUUUUCCUCCCCUCAAACCUGGCAUCGGAGUUUAUUGAAACAAAGCAAAAUAAAACAAAUAGACAAAGCUCUACCUCCAUCACUUCUGCAGUCUACAUUAACCCCACGUCCAGAAUAUUCACACCUCAGGUCUUUUUCUCACAAUUGAAACACUGGUUCAGAGCCUAACGGAAGGUCUUGGAGGUCCAGUCUAAUUCCCCUCCCCAGGAAGAGGGAUGAGCCUUUGUGGCUGCCUCCAUAAAUGAAAAUGCGAUGGAAAGGAUGCUGCACGACUUAUGAGGCUAAGUCAUAAGAAGAACUAAAGCUUCUACCCAUUUCCACUUCCUUUUGGGAAACGUGUCUUGGGAGCCCUGAGCCAAUAUGUAAGAAGUCCAGCUAUGUAUAGCCACCAUGCUGCAGAAACCACACAGAGAUAAAGAUUCGUGAGGAGUCUCCCCAUUUCCAGUUCCCAGCUGCUUGAGUCCUCCCACCUCCCAGAAUGAACUGUCAGACAUGUGAGUAGAAAUGACUCCAGACCCAGCCUUCAAGCUGUUGUCCCAGCUGACACCAAGUAGAGCAAAGGAGUUGUCUCCAUCAGUCUAGCUCAUAUUGCAGAUUUGUGAGAAAAAAACAAAUGUUGCUGCGUUAAGCCAGUAAAUGCUAGGAUAAUUUGUUAUAUGACAAUGACAAGAGUAACCAGGACACCACCCUUGUGUUAUCAUUACGUUCUCCCCUUGCUUCUUGUGAUGCCCUUGCUUUUCUUCUCUACCAGUUGCUGAGAAUUAGAGGAAGACCUUUGCUCCCACCAAUGUCAACAUUUCUUUACCAGAAAACACAGAGGCAUUUAACUCAUAUUUCGAAGACUUACAGCUUCUUAUAAUGGCCCUGGUGGUUAUACUUUUUGUUCUACUGACUCUAUUUUGUUACAGUUACUCUGCCCACAAAGUGCAAGACCCUUUGUGAUUAUGUUGGGGGACAUCAAUUCAAAUGACACCGUGAUAGCAUUACUGUCAAAUCAUGCUUCCCUCUCAAUGCUGUUGAUGAAGCUGGUGUACCCCAACCCUGUUCUUACAGGUUAAGUUGCUUUUUCCCACUUGAAACAUUGUACAACAGCCAAAAGCUUAUCUGGUCAGUUUUAAUGCGUCCUGCCCCUUCCUAGGACUUAUUGCAAUGACAAACAUAUAAGAGCUGUGAAAACUCUGUGACUUACACACAGUAGGCACCUGGUGUUUUAAGUGCUCUUCCUGAAAUGCUCACUGACAAUAAAACUAUUGAACAGAUCAGGACUGAAAACAUAGCUUUGUUUUGUGCCAGCAAAGACUCUCUUCUCUCCUUUACAGGUUGACAUUGAGCCAUUAAUCAACAGUAUGUUCAACAGUAACUAGUGAGUUAUGAAUCCAACUAUGUGCCUCUAUUU
rnacentral:lncRNA from 1 species